UCUAACAAUGAAAGUGGAGUAUCUGCAUGUAAGUGGAGCUCUUGGACUCACUAAGGAGUCCAACUGACCAAUCAUUUAAUUUCCACCUCUCCUUAGACUUCUAUUUUUAGAUCUGUGGGGGUCCGUCCCUGUAAAAGUUCAGGGGGCUUGAGGAGGACCAGACGGGGCUACCAUCUCAGCCUGGCCCAGUUCUUCCAGAGGCAGGGCAGGGAGCUCUGUAGCUGGCUUCAGAUCCUGGAGGAGCUCCCCUGGCACCUGGAGCAGAGUGAGGCCUGGAGGGAGCUACACACCUUCUUCAUAGAGCCACAGUAAGAGCAUGGAUAUACACUUCACACAUAAGGACACUAGGGGCACACAGUUACUGUUGGGUAAAAUAGUUUAGCCGCAGAUGAACUGUCAUCAUAUAUUUAACCUAACACUUAAACUGGGUGAGCCUUUAUAUCGGUUUACAGAUUCGCAUGUUUAACCAUCAUUUGUUUACAUAACGGUAUCCACUUACUAUCUGACCCGAGGACUGUAGAGCACCUGUCUAUAACUUGGAGACAGUCUCCUCGGCUGAGAAUGGAUGUUGUCAGGUACUGGACUCUCCUGAUCCUCAGAGGUUAUGACCCCUACACCUCGUACCAGAGCCUGCUGCGUAAGGGAAUCCACCCUCGUUCUCUUGUCCAAUCAGGGCGAUGAGCAUUCCCUCCUGCUACAUAUACAGGAAGGGAGGAAGCAGAGCAGAUCCCACUGCAGGCUGAGAACAACCUCACACAGGCUGGUGAGCAGGACAGAGACAGGGAGAGUGUGAUGUUACUGCUGACAGCGCGGCAGACUUUGGCUGAGCUCUAUGGAGACGGACCAGCACAGAGAGGCAGAGACGUACUGUAGAUCAGCUCUGGAGACCGCCCAGACUCACACCGCUACCUGCCUUGAGAGACAUGAGAGAAUCACUGUUGGAAAGGGUCAGUUGCUUUGUGUGCUCUGCCAGCUGCUGUUUGCAGAUGUCCGAACCAUCGAGGCCUCUCAGAUACUCAAUGGCAUCAUCAAUAUGGGACACCACAAACUCCACCUGUGUACUGACGCCACUGUAUCACUGCUCUGUGGGAUACACAGGUGUGUAUUAAAUAGCAUAAAUAGGGAUAGUCUCAUGUGUGACGUUUCUGUACUUCAUAGGUUCAGC
rnacentral:lncRNA from 1 species